GAUGAACGCUGGCGGCGUGCCUAAUACAUGCAAGUCGAGCGAAUGGAUUAAGAGCUUGCUCUUAUGAAGUUAGCGGCGGACGGGUGAGUAACACGUGGGUAACCUGCCCAUAAGACUGGGAUAACUCCGGGAAACCGGGGCUAAUACCGGAUAACAUUUUGAACCGCAUGGUUCGAAAUCGAAAGGCGGCUUCGGCUGUCACUUAUGGAUGGAACCGCGUCGCAUUAGCUAGUUGGUGAGGUAACGGCUCACCAAGGCAACGAUGCGGAGCCGACCUGAGAGGGUGAUCGGCCACACUGGGACUGAGACACGGCCCAGACUCCUACGGGAGGCAGCAGUAGGGAAUCUUCCGCAAUGGACGAAAGUCUGACGGAGCAACGCCGCGUGAGUGAUGAAGGCUUUCGGGUCGUAAAACUCUGUUGUUAGGGAAGAACAAGUGCUAGUUGAAUAAGCUGGCACCUUGACGGUACCUAACCAGAAAGCCACGGCUAACUACGUGCCAGCAGCCGCAGUAA
rnacentral:rRNA from 1 species